rnacentral:lncRNA from 1 species
GAUUGAUAAAUUUUAAUAAUUUUGGAUUGCCAAUAUCAGAAAAAUGAUCUACAAUCCCUUUAUUUAUAGAUUUCAUCGACUUGUUGUCAAUUUUGGUAAGAUAGUUUGCGACUUCAUCCUUAGACCUUUGUUUGUCCAGAAUUUUUUUUAUUUAUUCUUCUAAAAUACUCAUAAAUUAAAUUUUUUGGUUAGGAGCAGAGUCUAAUACAAUGGGUA